rnacentral:rRNA from 1 species
GGGCAUUGUCUAGUACGGCGAGUGAAGCGGCAACAGCUCAAAUUUGAAAUCUGGCUUCGGCCCGAGUUGUAAUUUGCAGAGGAUGCUUUUGGCGAGGCGCCUUCCGAGUUCCCUGGAACGGGACGCCAUAGAGGGUGAGAGCCCCGUAUGGUUGGACGCCGAGCCUCUGUAAAGCUCCUUCGACGAGUCGAGUAGUUUGGGAAUGCUGCUCAAAAUGGGAGGUAAAUUUCUUCUAAAGCUAAAUACCGGCCAAAGACCGAUAGCGCACAAGUAGAGUGAUCGAAAGAUGAAAAGCACUUUGAAAAGAGAGUGAAAAAGUACGUGAAAUUGUUGAAAGGGAAGGGCAUUUGAUCAGACAUGGUGUUUUGUGCCCUCUGCUCCUUGUGGGUAGGGGAAUCUCGCAUUUCACUGGGCCAGCAUCAGUUUUGGUGGCAGGAUAAAUCCAUAGGAAUGUAGCUUGCCUCGGUAAGUAUUAUAUCCUGUGGAAAUACUGCCACCUGUGACAGAUGACGGCGACGCACUUGACGUAAGCAGGGAUAUUGCUGGUGUGUCGUCCGCCUCCCCUGAGGGGGGCAGCAACGGGCCCCGUCUUGAAACACGGACCA